rnacentral:rRNA from 1 species
GACCAAACGUCGUUAGGCCAGUUUUCUGGUCGUGUUCAACAGACCUAUAAACAUUCUGUGCCGCGUUUCUUUGUUCCUGAGCAUGGCACUAUGUUUACUCUUGCGCUUGUUCGUUUUCCGCCUACUGCGACUAAAGAGAUUCAGUACCUUAACGCUAAAGGUGCUUUGACUUAUACCGAUAUUGCUGGCGAC